GAGUUUGAUCCUGGCUCAGAACGAACGCUGGCGGCGUGCCUAACACAUGCAAGUCGAACGGGCCUUGUGCGUAGCACAAGGAAAUCCAAAGCACAAAGCACUAAAUCCAAAACAAAUUCAAAUGACAAAAAUCCAAAAUGUCCAAAAGCUAAGGGAAUUGGGAUUUUGAAUUUAGAUGUUGUUUGGAAUUUUGGAUUUAGGAUUUCGGAUUUUCUCGUGCUAUGCACGAGGUCAGUGGCGAACGGGUGAGUAACACGUAGGAAACCUACCCUUAAGAGGGGGAUAAUGUCGAGAAAUUGGCACUAAUACCCCAUAAGACUACGAAAUGAGAAGUUCGUGGUAAAAGUCUUGAGAAAUCGGGAUGCUGAAGGAUGGGCCUGCGGCCUAUCAGGUAGUUGGUGGGGUAAAGGCCUACCAAGCCUAAGACGGGUAGCCGGACUGAGAGGUUGGACGGCCACACUGGAACUGAGAAACGGUCCAGACUCCUACGGGAGGCAGCAGUGGGGAAUCUUGCGCAAUGGGCGAAAGCCUGACGCAGCAACGCCGCGUGAAUGAUGAAGGCCUUCGGGUCGUAAAGUUCUGUCAGGGGGGACGAUAAUGACGGUACCCCCGGAGGAAGCCCCGGCUAACUACGUGCCAGCAGCCGCGGUAAUACGUAGGGGGCGAGCGUUGUCCGGAAUUAUUGGGCGUAAAGGGCGCGUAGGCGGCCGAUCAAGUCAGGUGUGAAAUGCCGGGGCUUAACCCUGGACGUGCACUUGAAACUGGUUGGCUGGAGUGCAGGAGAGGAAAGUGGAAUUCCCAGUGUAGCGGUGAAAUGCGUAGAUAUUGGGAGGAACACCAGUGGCGAAGGCGACUUUCUGGACUGCAACUGACGCUGAGGCGCGAAAGCUAGGGGAGCAAACAGGAUUAGAUACCCUGGUAGUCCUAGCCGUAAACGAUGGGUACUAGGUGUAGGGGGUUUAGACGCCCUCUGUGCCGCAGCUAACGCACUAAGUACCCCGCCUGGGGAGUACGGCCGCAAGGCUGAAACUCAAAGGAAUUGACGGGGGCCCGCACAAGCGGUGGAGCAUGUGGUUUAAUUCGAAGCAACGCGAAGAACCUUACCAAGGCUUGACAUGUGCCUGACGGGUUUGGGAAACCAGAUCUUUCUUUUCGGAGACGGGUACACAGGUGGUGCAUGGUUGUCGUCAGCUCGUGUCGUGAGAUGUUGGGUUAAGUCCCGCAACGAGCGCAACCCUUGUUUUUAGUUGCCAGCGGUUCGGCCGGGCACUCUAAGGAGACUGCCGGUGACAAACCGGAGGAAGGUGGGGACGACGUCAAAUCAUCAUGCCCUUUAUGUCUUGGGCUACACACGUGCUACAAUGGCCAGUACAAUGGGUUGCCAAAGGGUGACCUGGAGCCAAUCCCAUAAAACUGGUCUCAGUUCGGAUUGUAGGCUGCAAUUCGCCUACAUGAAGUCGGAAUCGCUAGUAAUCGCGGAUCAGCACGCCGCGGUGAAUACGUUCCCGGGCCUUGUACACACCGCCCGUCACACCACGAAAGCUGGCAACACCCGAAGCCGGUGAGCUAACCGCAAGGAGGCAGCCGUCUAAGGUGGGGUCAGUGAUUGGGGUGAAGUCGUAACAAGGUAGCCGUAUCGGAAGGUGCGGCUGGAUCACCUCCUUUCUAAUCACUAGUGAAUU
rnacentral:rRNA from 1 species